GCAGCUUCACCCAUGCACGUGACAUGAGUUUUGCUGUGAAGAUUUUGGGGUGCAGUUUCUCUCACUCCUCGGCAUCUAUCUUCUGAAAUCGUGGCACGCUUCAUGCCGUUAGAAGGGACUACCUGCAAGUUUCAUUGAAAUCAGGCCAGAAAUGACACAAUUAUAGCCUGUUGACCUUCCCCAUUAUAGCCUAUGGGUGAAACGUCAAUACAGGGUCAAAACGGCAAAACGUUUCGACAGAAAGGAACAGAAGAGCCAUUUCGACUUGAGACAGAUGUCAAAAUGAAACACUGUUCUGUUGAAAUGUCCAAGCGCUGGUCGAAACAGAGUGUUUCCAUUUCGCACGGCCCUACUCCCUGGUCACCGCAAUUUAGAGAGUGACUUAGAGAUUUGACAGCACUUUGAUGGAUGAGGUCUGUAUGGAUUUACUAACAUGAAAAGACAGUGUCCCAGUUAGUCCAGUUGCCCCAUUUGUGUCCAGUAUCACUCUGGUCAUUCCUGGCUUUUGCUUGGGCCAGAUGCUCGUCAUCCAAGAAUCCUUUUACAGCUGCAUUUGUUCAGAUAAAUGCUCAUCACUAUUUCUCUUCAUUUCAGGGUGGAAAAGAGCUGUGAUCUGUCCAGGGCUGGGACAAACUGCACCGCUUUUGGAAAAAGAGGAUGGACACUUGAUGCCCAAAAGUUUAUCCAACAGCUCUUCCAAAUAGAGAGUCAAACCAAUAAGAGAUACCACAAAACAUUGUUGCCUCCUGAACCGGCAGAGCUCCAACAAUACUCCAACUCUCUUUAUUAAGACACCAAGUACGUUCCUGGCUUUUAACACAAUUACCUUCUAUUCACAUAAGUCACUUAUGGCUUCCUCACUCCCACUUCCCCACACAUCUCUCCAUUUUUGUCUUAAGCCCUUCCGGUUUGUGUAUGUAUUUCACUCCCUCCCAUCUGCUAUGCCAUAGGCUGUAUCUUGCUGGAGUGGGAAUGUCUCUCUGGGAAAUGCCCCCAAAGUAUGAGAGCGGGGAAGGUUUAACAAGGUGGGUUUGAAUACAGGCAGGGGAUAGUGCAGGGGGAGAUGAGCUGUAUCCAUGCUCUCCCCUUCACACCCUCUGCUGGGCUCUCCUCAGCCCCA